AACGCGAAGAACCUUACCAGCCCUUGACAUGUCCCGUAUGAGUACCAGAGAUGUCUUCUUCUCUUCGGAGCCGGGGACACAGGUGCUGCAUGGCUGUCGUCAGCUCGUGUCGUGAGAUGUUGGGUUAAGUCCCGCAACGAGCGCAACCCUCGCCCUUAGUUGCCAUCAUUCAGUUGGGCACUCUAGGGGGACUGCCGGUGAUAAGCCGGAGGAAGGUGGGGAUGACGUCAAGUCCUCAUGGCCCUUACAGGCUGGGCUACACACGUGCUACAAUGGCGGUGACAACGGGAUGCGAAGGGGCGACCCCGAGCAAAUCUCGAAAAGCCGUCUCAGUUCGGAUUGCACUCUGCAACUCGAGUGCAUGAAGUUGGAAUCGCUAGUAAUCGCAGAUCAGCACGCUGCGGUGAACACGUUCCCGGGCCUUGUACACACCGACGCGUA
rnacentral:rRNA from 1 species